UAUCAUGGUAACCCAGAAGGACUCAAGCCACUCUAUUCAAGACUCUCUUUCCCUGAAGGUGGGAUUGGGCUUUACCAGAAAGGUCAGAUGUCACUUGUGUUUCUCACCCUUGCUGAAGAUGUGAUGUCUCAGCUUCUGGCUCCUGAUGCCCUGCCUGCCUGGCACUUGCUGCAGUGCCUCAUCUGUCUUUAUGAACUCCC